rnacentral:rRNA from 1 species
AAUAUUGCACAAUGGAGGAAACUCUGAUGCAGCGACGCCGCGUGACCGAUGAAGGCAUUCGCGUCGUACAGUACUGUCCUAGGGGACGAUAAUGACGGUGCCAUAGGAGGAGGAUACGGCUAACUACGUGCCAGCAGCCGCGGUAAUACGUAGGGGGAAAGCGUCGUCCGGAUUAAGUGGGCGUAAAGGGUUCGGAGGCGGCCUUUUAAGUCAGAUGUGAAAGACUACAGCUAAACUGGGGUAAGCAUUUGAAACUGAAAGGCUUGAGUUAAGGAAAGGAAAGUGGAAUUCCUAGUGUAGCGGUGAAAUGCGUAGAUAUUAGGAGGAAUACCAGUGGCGAAGGCGACUUUCUGGACUUAUACUGACGCUAAAGAACGAAAGCGUGGGGGGCAAACAGG